rnacentral:rRNA from 1 species
UACGUAGGGGGCAAGCGUUGUCCGGAAUUAUUGGGCGUAAAGAGCGCGUAGGCGGUCCGAUAAGUCGGCUGUGAAAGUCAGGGGCUCAACCCUUGAAAGCCGGCCGAUACUGUCGGACUAGAGUCCGGAAGAGGCAAGUGGAAUUCCCGGUGUAGCGGUGAAAUGCGCAGAUAUCGAGAGGAACACCUGCGGCGAAGGCGGGUCUCUGGGCAGUAACUGACGCUGAGGAGCGAAAGCGUGGGGAGCGAACAGG